UGUGUGUGUGUGUGUGUGUGUGUGUGUGUAAGCUCAACAAGAGCAGAGAAUACAAAUACCCUCCCCCUUCUCACAUGAGUACAUACAUACACACACACACACACACACACA
rnacentral:pre_miRNA from 1 species